UACAGAGGUCCCGAGCGUUGUUCGGAUUCACUGGGCGUAAAGGGCGCGUAGGCGGCAAUUCAAGUCAUCUGUGAAAUCUCCGGGCUUAACUCGGAACGGUCAGAUGAUACUGCUUUGCUAGAGUGCGGAAGGGGCAAUCGGAAUUCUUGGUGUAGCGGUGAAAUGCGUAGAUAUCAAGAGGAACACCUGAGGUGAAGACGGGUUGCUGGGCCGACACUGACGCUGAGUGCGCGAAAGCCAGGGGAGCAAACGGG
rnacentral:rRNA from 1 species